GAUGAAGAACGUAGCGAAAUGCGAUACUUGGUGUGAAUUGCAGAAUCCCGUGAACCAUCGAGUCUUUGAACGCAAGUUGCGCCCGAAGUCUUUCAGACCGAGGGCACGUCUGCCUGGGCGUCACACACAGCGUCGCCCCCCACCAACCCGUUGGCUGGGGGACGGAAACUGGCCCCCCGAGCCCCCACGGGCACGGUCGGCACAAAUGUUGGUCCUCGGCGGCGAGCGUCGCGGUCAGCGGUGGUUGUACUCUCACCCCCCAAAGACAAAAACGACGCGUACGCCUCGCCGCACGCAGGCGUAACGAACCCAGAGAAGCUCUCCCCGGAGACUUCAACCUGCGACCCCAGGUCAGGCGGGAUUACACGCUGAGUUUAAGCAUAUCAAUAAGCGGAGGA
rnacentral:misc_RNA from 1 species